GGUCUAGCUGCUGUGGUCAAUCGUGUGACUUGUUCCGCCCCCGUCCCGGGUUCGACCCUCUAUGUGCACGCCUGUCACCCCCGCGGUGCCUUACCUGCUCCUGGGCUUGCAGGAUGUCCAGUGGGCCGUGGGGAAUAGUCGUGGUGCGCGUAAGCUGGCCCGGACACCCCACGUAAAUCAAAAAAAAAAAAAAAAAAAAAUAUUACAAAAUAGACAAAAUAAAUCGGUAACAGUGCUAGGAAUUUCCGAGUCGUGGAACAGUGGCGGGUGCUUGCUUCACUCGCUAUUGCCACUAGCAGCACGUGGGUUCAUACACCGCAGCAAGCAAAGCCCAAGAGAUGGGUGGAUCUGGGAUGACUCCCUCCUCUCUUCUCUUCCCUAUCGGUGGUGGCAGAUUUGAUGGUUGUAGAUCUGGCGGUGACGGUGGCCGUUGCAGUGGACGAAUCUGCCAGUGCUUGAAGGCCUUGGUAUGGAGGAGAAGUAAGUGUCUCCUGGGCGCGGGGAACGGUCACGGGUCUGUGAGAGCUGCUAUGUUUUGGCUGCCACUGGAUUCUGGUCAAGGAAGAGAGAGAUGGGUCUCGGAUUAGCAGGGAUGAGGGACGCUGGAGACGACGUCUGUGGGGUUGGUCUCCUAUGUCAGUGAGCAGCAGCUCUGGUUUGGCCAAGAGAUGGGGGUGGUGCUCUCGGUGGCUAUGGGAAGAACACCUGAGAGGGAGAAGGUCUGGCGUGUGGCUGUUUUAGGUGAGGGAAAGGAUAGGACGAUUUGGCCAAAGGGUGAACGGCUGGAGAGAUGGAGGGCAAGUGGGAAGAUCUAGUAAGGGAAGGAGAUGGUUGGGUCUGUGGGGAUGGAGAGGGAAGGGGAAUACUUGUCCGGUUGAAGGGAGAAGAAGCCGAAAAUUCAAAAGCCCAAAGCCAGGGGUUUCUCUGGUUUUCGCUCAAGGGAGGGGGUGGUGGCUUGUCUGUAGAUGAGUUUAGGUUUACAGUUUCUUUGUGUUUCCCUAAUUUUCAAAAUCGACCUAUAUUUAAAGGUAAAUAUUAAUAGAUCUCUCAAACUUUUUUUAA